GGGCACAUGGUGUAGUUGGUUAUCACGCCCGCUUAGCAUGACUUGCCCUUUGAAAAUAUGUUUGCGGGCGGUCCCCGGUUCAAUUCCGGGUGUGUCCA